UCUCUCUCUCUCUCCUCACCUUCCCUUCCUGCUUCCCCCUUCUCUUUCCCCUCCAUAACGCACUAAGUACACUCUAUAUUCCAGCUCUCUCUGGGUAUGGGAUGCAAGCUACAGGGCCUCCACUGAGCCAACGGCUCACUCUAUGGGAUGCAGGAUUGGCAUGAAGGAGAAAAUCCAAAGUGAAGAUGACUUGAGCAGAAAGAAAAUAAAGCUGGAUGAGAUGACUGCAUAGACAACACAGGAGGGGCAGCCCCGAUGACAUCAUAGCUGAUAAAGCCCCCAUAGAGGGGUCAGAAGGAAAGGAGUAGGAGAGGUGUUCCUGGUCCAGUCCUCCCCACCCCCACAGAGAGGAGUACCUAGUCUGGGGACCUGGGGCCACCACUCUGUGCUGCAGGGUGCCAUGCUGCUCUGAGGGACAGGCGCUGAGCUGCUUCCCUACACUCGGGACACACACACCCAGAGGCCCUGCUGGGUGCCACGCUGCUCUGAGGGACAGGCGCUGAGCUGCUUCCCUACACUCGGGACACACACACCCAGGGGCCCUGCUGGGUGAUGACUACAGUUUUCUGCAGUCUGAAUUCUGUUUGCUUUGGAGCUGAAAUGCAGGCUGAAUAUUUGACUGUUUUAAUCUCUGGGACACAGAACUCAUUUUCAUUAAAAUAUUGGACUUGAGAACUAAGACCUAAGCUUUCUCCUUAGGGAAAGAAAGACUCAAAAUAAGGAAUGAUAAGACGGGACAGCUGCUCCUCAGAGACUGGAGCUGGUAUUGGAUAACAGCAAUGUCACUGGACUCUCACCCAUUGGAAAAGCUUUCCCUGUCUUUUGAGUAAUGUGAAUUAAAGAAAAUUGUGACAUGUUUAAUUGUA